AUUGAACGCUGGCGGCAGGCCUAACACAUGCAAGUCGAGCGAGCGGCGGACGGGUGAGUAAUGUCUGGGAAACUGCCUGAUGGAGGGGGAUAACUACUGGAAACGGUAGCUAAUCCCGCAUACCAUCGGAUGUGCCCCGAUGGGAUUAGCUAGUAGGUGGGGUAACGGCUCACCUAGGCGACGAUCCCUUGCUGGUCUGAGAGGAUGACCAGCCACACGGGAACUGAGACACGGUCCAGACGCCUACGGGAGGCAGCAGUGGGGAAUAUUGGACAAUGGGCGCAAGCCUGAUGCAGCCAUGCCGCGUGUAUGAAGAAGGCCUUCGGGUUGUAAAGUACUUUCAGCUGGGAGGCGUUACCCGCAGAAGAAGCACCGGCUAACUCCGUGCCAGCAGCCGCGGUAAUAC
rnacentral:rRNA from 1 species